CGGGACUCUUACGAGGCCUCGUAAUCGGAAUGAGUACACUUUAAAUAUUUUAACGAGGAACAAUUGGAGGGCAAGUCUGGUGCCAGCAGCCGCGGUAAUUCCAGCUCCAAUAGCGUAUACUAAAAUUGUUGCGGUUAAAAAGCUCGUAGUUGCAUUUGUGCGCCGCGCUGUCGGUGCACCGCUUCCGCGGUGAUACUGACACGUUUGCGGAGCAUAUCGUCGGUGAGCCGCCGGUAAAACGGCGGUUCAAUAUAAAAAUCCUAUCGCGGUGCUCUUCAGUGAGUGUCGAGAUGGGCCGACAAUUUUACUUUGAACAAAUUAGAGUGCUCAAAGCGGGCUCAAAAUGCUGCUUGAAUAUUUCGUGCAUGGAAUAAUAGAAUAUGAUCUCGGUUCUAUUUUGUUGGUUUUCAGAACUCCGAGGUAAUGAUUAAUAGGGAUAACUGGGGGCAUUCGUAUUGCGACGUUAGAGGUGAAAUUCUUGGAUCGUCGCAAGACGAACAUCAGCGAAAGCAUUUGCCAAAGGUGUUUUCAUCAAUCAAGAACGAAAGUUAGAGGUUCGAAGGCGAUUAGAUACCGCCCUAGUUCUAACCGUAAAUAUGUCAUCUAGCGAUCCGCCGACGUUAUUACAAUGGCUCGGCGGGCAGCUUCCGGGAAACCAAAGAUUUUGGACUCCGGGGGGAGUAUGGUUGCAAAGCUGAAACUUAAAGGAA
rnacentral:rRNA from 1 species